UACGGAGGGUGCAAGCGUUAUCCGGAUUCACUGGGUUUAAAGGGUGCGUAGGUGGGUUGGUAAGUCAGUGGUGAAAUCUCCGAGCUUAACUUGGAAACUGCCAUUAUACUAUCAGUCUUGAAUACCGUGGAGGUCAGCGGAAUAUGUCAUGUAGCGGUGAAAUGCUUAGAUAUGACAUAGAACACCAAUUGCGAAGGCAGCUGGCUACACGAAUAUUGACACUGAUGCACGAAAGCGUGGGGAUCAAACAGG
rnacentral:rRNA from 1 species